rnacentral:misc_RNA from 1 species
UCUCCGUUGGUGAACCAGCGGAGGGAUCAUUACAGAGUUGCAAAACUCCCAACCCUUUGUGAACGAACCUGACAGUUGCUUCGGCAGAAGGCCCUUCACUGGGCAGCCCGCCGGAGGGGGUGCCUGCCGCUGGCCAACCAAAAAUUCUAGCUGUUUUUGUACCAUCUGAGUCUUCCACAAAUAAACAAAACUUUCAACAACGGAUCUCUUGGUUCUG